rnacentral:rRNA from 1 species
UACGGGGGGAGCAAGCGUUGUUCGGAUUUACUGGGCGUAAAGGGCGCGUAGGCGGCCACCGCAAGUCAGUUGUGAAGGCUCUGGGCUUAACCCAGAAAGGUCAACUGAUACUGCGGGGCUAGAGUGCAGAAGGGGCAACUGGAAUUCUCGGUGUAGCGGUGAAAUGCGUAGAUAUCGAGAGGAACACCUGCGGCGAAGGCGGGUUGCUGGGCUGACACUGACGCUGAAGUGCGAAAGCUAGGGGAGCGAACGGG